UUGGUAUUAUGUUUCUACUAAAUUUUAAAUAACAAUAGGGUCUAUUUUGUAUUAUCAAUUAAUUGCAUCGAAUUCUUAGUAUUUGUAUUAAUACAUAAAAAAAAAUUUUUAGUGAAAAGUAUUUCCAUUAGGUUUCUAUGAGCUUAAGAUCAUCGAGUGAUUUCUUAGCAAAACCAUUAAGAGACCUUGAUAAGUCAG